ACCCUCGGCGACUCUUUGAGCUCUUGGAUAUGGGAAGAGAUACACAUUUAAAUUCCUUAACCAAGAACAAUUGGAGGGCAAGUCUGGUGCCAGCAGCCGCGGUAAUUCCAGCUCCAAUAGCGUAUAUUAAAGUUGUUGCAGUUAAAAAGCUCGUAGUUGAAUUUUGGGUCCUGAUAGUUGGUCCACCUAACGGGGUCUACUGUGGAAUUGGAACCCUUUUCCUGCGGGCCUGGGGUGCCUUUUAUGGGGGGGUCGGGAUAUCCAUGACUAUAACUUUGAGAGAAUUAAAGGGGUCAAAGCAGGUUUACUCUUGAAUACUAAAACAAGAAAUAACUGAAUUUAAUUUUUGUUCUUUUUUGAACCAUAAUAAAACCAAAAAGGAGAUUUUGGGGCAUUUAUGUUUGCAGGGUUAUUUCAGGGCUAAA
rnacentral:rRNA from 1 species